rnacentral:rRNA from 1 species
CCUACGGGGUGCUGCAGUCGAGAAUCAUUCACAAUGGGGGAAACCCUGAUGGUGCGACGCCGCGUGGGGGAAUGAAGGUCUUCGGAUUGUAAACCCCUGUCAUGUGGGGGCAAAUUAAAAAGAUAGUACCACAAGAGGAAGAGACGGCUAACUCUGUGCCAGCAGCCGCGGUAAUACAGAGGUCUCAAGCGUUGUUCGGAAUCACUGGGCGUAAGGCGUGCGUAGGCUGUUUCGUAAGUCGUGUGUGAAAGGCGCGGGCUCAACCCGCGGACGGCACAUGAUAAUGCGAGACUAGAGUAAUGGAGGGGGAACCGGAAUUCUCGGUGUAGCAGUGAAAUGCGUAGAUAUCGAGAGGAACACUCGUGGCGAAGGCGGGUUCCUGGACAUUAACUGACGCUGAGGCACGAAGGCCAGGGGAGCGAAAGGGAUUAGAUACCCGAGUAGUC